ensembl:lncRNA
UGCAAAGAUCAUCAAUGCCACAUCCCGUGCCAUUUUCAUACAUAACGUAAAGGCUUCCAAAGAGUGGACAGAUGGUUUCAUCUUCAGGAGCAUGAGAUACCUGUGCACCACUUGGGCCCAAGAUGGGGGCACCUUCUGAGUUCCUUAGCUCAUCAAGGGGGACACCUCUGCCAUGUGAAGGAGAGGACAUGAGUGCUAUGGAGAACAGGUUGAAGCCCUGAGGAGUCUAGUCCUUUUUGGGUAAACUUUUUCCUAAGC